CCGUAUCGGCGGCUUUCCUGCACAGUAUUUGGAUUUUGCUCCUCACAUGAUCGGAUCUAGGCGAAUAGCGGCGUGUCAGCAUGUGGAUAACAGACGCGCAACUCUGACUCCCGUAGAGAGCCUAUGCAGGAACUCUAGGACAGCAUUCACCAGCUUCGGAGUGAAGCUCUGCUGCUAGCACAGAUGUCGCCAUAGUCUCGAGGCACUAUCUGGCAAGGCGAGAGGCUCUGCUUGUAGCACAGUCGCUACCAUAGUCCCGAUGCCCUUUCUGGGUAGGUAAGCAACCAACUAUCCUGCACUGUUUUUUUUUAGUUUGUAAUGCAUGUAUUGUGAAAUUGGGCUUGGUGCCUAGCUAG